rnacentral:piRNA from 1 species
UUAGAUAAGAAAUGUUGUCAC